AUUGAACGCUGGCGGCAUGCCUUACACAUGCAAGUCGAACGGCAGCACGGGUGCUUGCACCUGGUGGCGAGUGGCGAACGGGUGAGUAAUACAUCGGAACAUGUCCUGUAGUGGGGGAUAGCCCGGCGAAAGCCGGAUUAAUACCGCAUACGAUCUACGGAUGAAAGCGGGGGACCUUCGGGCCUCGCGCUAUAGGGUUGGCCGAUGGCUGAUUAGCUAGUUGGUGGGGUAAAGGCCUACCAAGGCGACGAUCAGUAGCUGGUCUGAGAGGACGACCAGCCACACUGGGACUGAGACACGGCCCAGACUCCUACGGGAGGCAGCAGUGGGGAAUUUUGGACAAUGGGCGAAAGCCUGAUCCAGCAAUGCCGCGUGUGUGAAGAAGGCCUUCGGGUUGUAAAGCACUUUUAUCCGGAAAGAAAUCCUUGGCCCUAAUACGGUCGGGGGGAUGACGGUACCGGAAGAAUAAGCACCGGCUAACUACGUG
rnacentral:rRNA from 1 species